rnacentral:rRNA from 1 species
GAUGAACGCUGGCGGCGUGCCUAAUACAUGCAAGUCGAGCGAACGGACGAAAAGCUUGCUUCUCUGAUGUUAGCGGCGGACGGGUGAGUAACACGUGGAUAACCUACCUAUAAGACUGGGAUAACUUCGGGAAACCGGAGCUAAUACCGGAUAAUAUUUUGAACCGCAUGGUUCAAAAGUGAAAGACGGUCUUGCUGUCACUUAUAGAUGGAUCCGCGCUGCAUUAGCUAGUUGGUAAGGUAGCGGCUUACCAAGGCAACGAUGCAUAGCCGACCUGAGAGGGUGAUCGGCCACACUGGAACUGAGACACGGUCCAGACUCCUACGGGAGGCAGCAGUAGGGAAUCUUCCGCAAUGGGCGAAAGCCUGACGGAGCAACGCCGCGUGAGUGAUGAAGGUCUUCGGAUCGUAAAACUCUGUUAUUAGGGAAGAACAUAUGUGUAAGUAACUGUGCACAUCUUGACGGUACCUAAUCAGAAAGCCACGGCUAACUACGUG